CUCCUUUCAAAUCAUCUUUGAAAAAUAAUUUAUUCUAUUUUGUUUGAUUUUGAUGUUAAAAAUUAAAAAUUAUUAAUAAAUUUAUAUAGUAAUUCCAAUAAGAUUUUUGAAAUCCAGAAAAUGCAUAAUUAGAUCUCUAAGGUCACGGACGACCCUAUUCCUUUUCACUCCAGGGUUGUAGUCAUAGGUCUCUAUGCAUGUCAUGAUUCAAAGAGAUGUAUAUUCUCUUCUUAUAUUAAAUGGAUAGUACAAACAGGCUUUUAACUUAUUAGUAUCGAGUCAAGUUCUUUGGAGAGAGAAUUCUUUUUGAAUUUAGAGUUUUCUGCAAGUUUCUUCGCGGUUCUCUCUGCCCCACCGGGCAAGGGGAGCUUCUCCUCAUCCUGUAUGGCUGUGGGUUGCUCUCCCCUUUACCGGUUAGUUGAGAUUCAGAUCUCGCUCCUUAGUUAUUAUUAAGAGUCAACAAUGACGUGCAGUUUUCGGUGAGAAACUCGCGGGAACCAAAUAUUCCGGAAGGCCUGAGUGGAUUGCCAACAAGGAUCCCCAUCUCCACCCUUAUUGAUGCUGUUGGAUCUGUCUGUCUCUCUCUUGGCCAGUGUUUUACCUGCUGUGUUGAUGACUUCUCCUCCUCAAAGACCUUGCAUGCGGAUUUUCUUUCUGAGGAGAGACAUCUCUAAUUUGUUGGCCCUUAUUUACUAAAUCUUUUAGAUCUCUCAUCUUAAUUUGUUGACCCUGAUUUACUAAAUCUUUUAAAUUUCUCAUCUUAGAUUUCA